UACAGAGGUCUCAAGCGUUGUUCGGAUUCAUUGGGCGUAAAGGGUGCGUAGGUAGUGAUGCAAGUCUGGUGUGAAAUCUCGGAGCUCAACUCCGAAAUUGCACCGGAUACUGCGUGACUCGAGGACUGUAGAGGAGAUCGGAAUUCACGGUGUAGCAGUGAAAUGCGUAGAUAUCGUGAGGAAGACCAGUUGCGAAGGCGGAUCUCUGGGCAGUUCCUGACACUGAGGCACGAAGGCCAGGGGGAGCAAACGGG
rnacentral:rRNA from 1 species